rnacentral:rRNA from 1 species
GAUGAACGCUGGCGGCGUGCCUAAUACAUGCAAGUCGAGCGAACAGACGAGGAGCUUGCUCCUCUGACGUUAGCGGCGGACGGGUGAGUAACACGUGGAUAACCUACCUAUAAGACUGGGAUAACUUCGGGAAACCGUAGCUAAUACCGGAUAAUAUAUUGAACCGCAUGGUUCAAUAGUGAAAGACGGUUUUGCUUUCACUUAUAGAUGGAUCCGCGCCUCAUUAGCUAGUGGGUAAGGUAACGGCUUACCAAGGCAACGAUGCGUAGCCGACCUGAGAGGGUGAUCGGCCACACUGGAACUGAGACACGGUCCAGACUCCGACGGGAGGCAGCAGUAGGGAAUCUUCCGAAAUGGGCGAAAGCAUGACGGAGCAACGCCGCGUGAGUGAUGAAGGUCUUCGGAUCGUAAAACUCUGUUAUUAGGGAAGAACAAAUGUGUAAGUAACUAUGCACGUCUUGACGGUACCUAAGCAGAAAGCCACGGCUAACUACGUG